rnacentral:rRNA from 1 species
UACGUAGGGGGCAAGCGUUGUUCGGAAUUACUGGGCGUAAAGCGCGCGUAGGCGGUUUGAAAAGUCAGAUGUGAAAGCCCCGGGCUCAACUUGGGAACUGCAUUUGAUACUGUCAGACUAGAGUACAGAAGAGGUGACUGGAAUUCCCAGUGUAGCGGUGAAAUGCGUAGAUAUUGGGAGGAACACCAGAUGCGAAGGCGGGUCACUGGGCUGAUACUGACGCUGAAGCGCGAAAGCCAGGGGAGCGAACGGGG